GGGCGCGUAGCUCAGUUGGUUAGAGUGUCUCGGUGACAUCGAGAAGGUCAGAGGUUCAAAUCCUCUCGCGCCCACCA
rnacentral:tRNA from 1 species